rnacentral:rRNA from 1 species
GCCACGGCUACUACGUGCCAGCAGCCGCGGUAAUACGUAGGUGGCAAGCGUUAUCCGGAAUUAUUGGGCGUAAAGCGCGCGUAGGCGGUUUCUUAAGUCUGAUGUGAAAGCCCCCGGCUCAACCGGGGAGGGUCAUUGGAAACUGGGAAACUUGAGUGCAGAAGAGGAGAGUGGAAUUCCAUGUGUAGCGGUGAAAUGCGCAGAGAUAUGGAGGAACACCAGUGGCGAAGGCGGCUCUCUGGUCUGUAACUGACGCUGAGGUGCGAAAGCGUGGGGAUCAAACAGGAUUAGAUACCCUGGUAGUCCACGCCGUAAACGAUGAGUGUUAGAUGUCCGAGGUAAACUUGGGUGUCACAAGCCAACGCGAUAAACACUCCGCCUGGGGAGUACGUACGCA